UCCUUGAAGAUCCAAAAUCUGGAACUACAGACAACACUGAUGAGGAUGCCUUGACAAAAUUGUUUGGUAACCCAAAAUCUGGUCAUUUAAUCGGACACGGAAGAGGCGUAACAAGGUCGAAGCUAACUAUUGUUAAUAUGUGUAAUAGCAAGAUCUCCAAGUUAGAAGAAGAGCAACAGAAUAUGAAGCUCAAAAUGACUGAAAUGAUGAAUCUACUUAAAGAACACUUGGUGGUUGGUGGUAAAGCGACACCAAGCGAAGGAUAGUCUCGCAAUGUACCGCAGUCAAACAAUAUUCAUUCCCCUAAGAGUAUUGCACUAGAAAAAAGACAUAACUUUACAGAAGCGAAGAAUGCUUGCUACUUUCUUGACUGGGCAGAUGUAAUUGUUGCUGAAGGUCGUUGGGAUUCUAGUGAUCCAAAGUUAACUGUACAUGGAAAGCCUCUUGGACUAGACUUUAUGCGAGUAUGGGUUGAUGCUGAUAUUGUACCAGAAUCUUACUUAUUUCGUCCUAAUAAUGUGAUGCUUACAAUACAAGAAGCAGUUUGUUCCACAGUUGCAUGACCUUCUAAAAAUUUUAUUCCAAGAGAUGUGACAAGAGAAAUAGAAAAUGAUACUUAAUUUUGAAGGCUUUGUGUUGGGCAGCCGUAGAAUAUUUUGUGCUGAAAGUAGUAACUUUUCAAUAUGUUGAAUAUUUAAGACUACUUGAAUACUUAAAGAACAUUUUGUUGUUGAUGACAGUGUUGACUGUUUUAAACU